GGUAUAGUUCUUCGGAACUAGAGACCGGCGCACGGGUGCGUAACGCGUAUGCAAUCUACCUUUUACAGAGGGAUAGCCCAGAGAAAUUUGGAUUAAUACCUCAUAGCAUAGCAAUCUCGCAUGAGAUCACUAUUAAAGUCACAACGGUAAAAGAUGAGCAUGCGUCCCAUUAGCUAGUUGGUAAGGUAACGGCUUACCAAGGCUACGAUGGGUAGGGGUCCUGAGAGGGAGAUCCCCCACACUGGUACUGAGACACGGACCAGACUCCUACGGGAGGCAGCAGUGAGGAAUAUUGGACAAUGGGCGCAAGCCUGAUCCAGCCAUGCCGCGUGCAGGAUGACGGUCCUAUGGAUUGUAAACUGCUUUUAUACGAGAAGAAACACUCCGACGUGUCGGAGCUUGACGGUAUCGUAAGAAUAAGGAUCGGCUAACUCCGUGCCAGCAGCCGCGGUAAUACGGAGGAUCCAAGCGUUAUCCGGAAUCAUUGGGUUUAAAGGGUCCGUAGGCGGUUUAGUAAGUCAGUGGUGAAAGCCCAUCGCUCAACGGUGGAACGGCCAUUGAUACUGCUAAACUUGAAUUAUUAGGAAGUAACUAGAAUAUGUAGUGUAGCGGUGAAAUGCUUAGAGAUUACAUGGAAUACCAAUUGCGAAGGCAGGUUACUACUAAUGGAUUGACGCUGAUGGACGAAAGCGUGGGUAGCGAACAGGAUUAGAUACCCUGGUAGUCCACGCCGUAAACGAUGGAUACUAGCUGUUGGGAGCAAUCUCAGUGGCUAAGCGAAAGUGAUAAGUAUCCCACCUGGGGAGUACGUUCGCAAGAAUGAAACUCAAAGGAAUUGACGGGGGCCCGCACAAGCGGUGGAGCAUGUGGUUUAAUUCGAUGAUACGCGAGGAACCUUACCAAGGCUUAAAUGUAGAUUGACCGGUUUGGAAACAGAUCUUUCGCAAGACAAUUUACAAGGUGCUGCAUGGUUGUCGUCAGCUCGUGCCGUGAGGUGUCAGGUUAAGUCCUAUAACGAGCGCAACCCCUGUUGUUAGUUGCCAGCGAGUCAUGUCGGGAACUCUAACAAGACUGCCAGUGCAAACUGUGAGGAAGGUGGGGAUGACGUCAAAUCAUCACGGCCCUUACGCCUUGGGC
rnacentral:rRNA from 1 species